GCAGCAGUGGGUCGGAAGCGGAAUUCUCGCCUUCUGAGUGGGAGACCUGGGUUUGAUUCCCGGCUGGUGCA
rnacentral:tRNA from 1 species